rnacentral:rRNA from 1 species
CCUACGGGAGUCAGCAGUGAGGAAUAUUGGUCAAUGGACGCGAGUCUGAACCAGCCAAGUAGCGUGAAGGAUGACUGCCCUAUGGGUUGUAAACUUCUUUUAUAAAGGAAUAAAACGCGGCACGUGUGCCUUUUUGCAUGUACUUUAUGAAUAAGGAUCGGCUAACUCCGUGCCAGCAGCCGCGGUAAUACGGAGGAUCCGAGCGUUAUCCGGAUUUAUUGGGUUUAAAGGGAGCGUAGAUGGGUUGUUAAGUCAGUUGUGAAAGUUUGCGGCUCAACCGUAAAAUUGCAAUUGAUACUGGCAGUCGUGAGUACAGUUGAGGUAGGCGGAAUUCGUGGUGUAGCGGUGAAAUGCUUAGAUAUCACGAAGAACCCCGAUUGCGAAGGCAGCUUACUAAACUGUGACUGACAUUGAUGCUCGAAAGUGUGGGUAUCAAACAGGAUUAGAUACCCCUGUAGUC